rnacentral:rRNA from 1 species
UAGGGAAUAUUGCAUAAUGGGCGAAAGCCUGAUGCAGCAACGCCGCGUGCGCGAUGAAGGCCUUCGGGUCGUAAAGCGCUUUUCAGAGGGACGAGGAAGGACGGUACCUCUGGAAUAAGUCUCGGCUAACUACGUGCCAGCAGCCGCGGUAAAACGUAGGAGGCAAGCGUUAUCCGGAUUUACUGGGCGUAAAGCGCGUGCAGGCGGUUUGGAAAGUUGGAUGUGAAAGCUCCCGGCUCAACUGGGAGAGGUCGUUCAAUACUUCCAGACUAGAGAGUGGUAGAGGGAGGUGGAAUUCCGGGUGUAGUGGUGAAAUGCGUAGAUAUCCGGAGGAACACCAGUGGCGAAAGCGGCCUCCUGGACCAUUUCUGACGCUCAGACGCGAAAGCUAGGGUAGCAAACGGG